rnacentral:rRNA from 1 species
GCCUUAUUAUAAAUAUAUGAGGUGAAACCUGCUCAAUGGCUGCCAAUAAACAAUAACAACAGUUAAAUAGCCGCGGUAACUCUGACCGUGAUAAAGUAGCAUAAUCACUCGUCAUUUAAUUGAUGACUGGAAUGAAUGGUUAAACGAAUCUCCUGCUGUCUCAAGAAGAAAUAUAACUAAAUUGAAAUGAUAGUGAAGAUGCUAUCUUAUAAUUAUAAGACGAAAAGACCCUAUUGAGCUUUACUAAAAGCUUGUAGUUAAUUUCAUACUAAUAUUUAUAUAAAGAAAAAUUUUGCAAGCUUGUUAGUUUGGUUGGGGCGACCACCUCUAAAAAAGUAUCAGAGGAACUCUAAAAGUUUUACAAUAAUAUAAAAAGCCUUACUGAAUACUUAUAUGUUAAACAGUUACUAACUAGUAGGAUAUAAUGACCCGUUAAUUAAUUUUAUUAAAUUAACGAACAUAGAAAAAGUUACCAUAGGGAUAACAGGGUAAUAUUUUUGAAGAGUUCAUAUCGAUAAAAAUGUUUGCCACCUCGAUGUUGAAUUGUGGUAUCCUAAAGGUGCAGCAGCUUUUAAGGGUUG